AGCAAUUAUACAGCGAAACUGCGAAUGGCUCAUUAAAUCAGUUAUCGUUUAUUUGAUAGUACCUUACUACUUGGAUAACCGUGGUAAUUCUAGAGCUAAUACAUGCUAAAAACCCCGACUCACGAAGGGGUGUAUUUAUUAGAUUAAAAACCAAUGCCCUUCGGGGCUCUUUGGUGAUUCAUAAUAACUUUUCGAAUCGCAUGGCCUUGCGCCGGCGAUGGUUCAUUCAAAUUUCUGCCCUAUCAACUUUCGAUGGCAGGGUCUUGGCCUGCCAUGGUUACAACGGGUAACGGAGGGUUAGGGCUCGACCCCGGAGAAGGAGCCUGAGAAACGGCUACUACAUCCAAGGAAGGCAGCAGGCGCGCAAAUUACCCAAUCCCGAUUCGGGGAGGUAGUGACAAUAAAUACUGAUACAGGGCUCUUUUGGGUCUUGUAAUUGGAAUGAGUACAAUUUAAAUCCCUUAACGAGGAACAAUUGGAGGGCAAGUCUGGUGCCAGCAGCCGCGGUAAUUCCAGCUCCAAUAGCGUAUAUUAAAGUUGUUGCAGUUAAAAAGCUCGUAGUUGAACCUUGGGCCUGGCUGGCCGGUCCGCCUCACCGCGUGCACUGGUUCGGCCGGGCCUUUCCCUCUGGGGAACCUCAUGGUCUUCACUGAUCGUGAUGGGGAACCAGGACUUUUACUGUGAAAAAAUUAGAGUGUUCAAAGCAGGCCUAUGCUCGAAUACAUUAGCAUGGAAUAAUAAAAUAGGACGUGUGGUUCUAUUUUGUUGGUUUCUAGGACCGCCGUAAUGAUUAAUAGGGACAGUCGGGGGCAUCAGUAUUCAAUUGUCAGAGGUGAAAUUCUUGGAUUUAUUGAAGACUAACUACUGCGAAAGCAUUUGCCAAGGAUGUUUUCAUUAAUCAGGAACGAAAGUUAGGGGAUCGAAGACGAUCAGAUACCGUCGUAGUCUUAACCAUAAACUAUGCCGACUAGGGAUCGGACGGUGUUACUUAUUGACCCGUUCGGCACCUUACGAGAAAUCAAAGUCUUUGGGUCUGGGGGG
rnacentral:rRNA from 1 species